AUUAACACCAACUACUUGACUUUUCUGAGCAGCUUUAUGGGAAUAAUGGACAUAGUGGGUUUACCUAAGAUGACUUGUAAGACUGAACGGAACAAGCAAA